AAAUUGAAGAGUUUGAUCAUGGCUCAGAUUGAACGCUGGCGGCAGGCCUAACACAUGCAAGUCGAACGGUAACAGAAAGAAGCUUGCUUCUUUGCUGACGAGUGGCGGACGGGUGAGUAAUGUCUGGGAAACUGCCCGAUGGAGGGGGAUAACUACUGGAAACGGUAGCUAAUACCGCAUAAUGUCGCAAGACCAAAGAGGGGGACCUUCGGGCCUCUUGCCAUCGGAUGUGCCCAGAUGGGAUUAGCUAGUAGGCGGGGUAA
rnacentral:rRNA from 1 species